rnacentral:rRNA from 1 species
GAAGAGUUUAGGAGCUAUAUAAUAGCUUUUUUUGGAAAAAAUCCUCUUUUUGUAGCAAAAAAAAGUAAUGACAUUUAUAUAGAAGUGAAAGACUUUCAUCUACUCUGAUAUCUGGAUUUUAAGUACAAGUAUUUAGUACUAUUUAAGACAAUUUUAUAGUGUUAAGAUUAUAAAAGCUAAGAGAUAUGAUUAUGCUCCCCUCCUCUUGGUUGGUUAACCCCUUCCGUUAUAUGGGGGAUUACUCUUAUUAAUCUUCCUUUUUUCCUUAGGUGUACCCCCUUAAAUAUACUUAGUGCUUAAAUAUUAGUAUAGAUAAUGUAAAAAUUAGUAUUUAUUUUAAAAAUCUACUAAAAGGAACUCGGCAACCCCAUGGUCAUCUGUUUAUCAAAAACAUAGCUUUUAGAUCAUAUAUUAUAAGUACACUCUGCCCCGUGUGGGGGUCCUCCUCAUCAACGGCCGCAGUACUUUGACUGUGCUAAGGUAGCAUAAUAAAUUGGCUUUUAAUUGAAGUCUGGAAUGAAAGAGACAAUGAACCAUUAGCUGUCUUUAAGUAGGUUUAUGUAAGUUACUUAAAAGGUGAAAACUCCUUUAAUAAUCCUAUAGACAAGAAGACCCUAAGAGCUUUCUUUUUUAUUUUGUUGGGGCGACAGGGUGACAUUUUAAACUCACCAGUAAGUAAUAACCACACACCAUUUAACCUAAAUAUACAGCACAAGCUACCUUAGGGAUAACAGCAUAAUAUUAAGUUUGCUUAUGACCUCGAUGUUGGAUUAGGGAGGCCUUGUAUUAGCCGUAUAAGUUAUCUUGUUCUGUUCGAACACAAACCCCUACAUGAUCUGAGUUCAGACCGGCGUAAGCCAGGUCAG